UACGUAGGGCGCAAGCGUUGUCCGGAAUUAUUGGGCGUAAAGAGCUCGUAGGCGGCUUGUCACGUCGGAUGUGAAAGCCCGAGGCUUAACCUCGGGUCUGCAUUCGAUACGGGCUAGCUAGAGUGUGGUAGGGGAGAUCGGAAUUCCUGGUGUAGCGGUGAAAUACGUAGAUAUCAGGUGGAACAUCGGUGGCGAAGGCGGCUCACUGGACCAGUACUGACACUGAGGAGCGAAAGCAUGGGGAUCAAACAGG
rnacentral:rRNA from 1 species